rnacentral:lncRNA from 1 species
ACCUCGUUAAAUCUGGCCCAGCUCACUAGCCCACACUAGCCCACUAUCAUGUCCAAUGUAUAAACGAAUUCACAAACCCUAAAGUCACUCCCUCAGUCUCUACCUCACCCCUGCAGCUGCAGCCCCUCUCUCCCAUGCUCCUCCACGCGACCACACAGGCAGCGAGCGUCGUGCUCGUCCCUACCCUCUCCUAUCCUCCUCCAUGUGCUCCUC